rnacentral:rRNA from 1 species
AGAGUUUGAUCCUGGCUCAGGAUGAACGCUAGCGGCAGGCUUAAUACAUGCAAGUCGAACGGUGAGUAGCAAUACUUAUAGUGGCAAACGGGUGCGUAACGCGUAAGCAACCUGCCCCACACUGGGGGAUAGCCCGGCGAAAGCUGGGGUAACCCCGCACGGUCCUGUUUUCUCGCCUGGGAGGACAGGUAAACCUUUGGGGGUGUGGGAGGGGCUUGCGUCUGAUUAGGUAGUUGGUGCGGGUAACGGCCCACCAAGCCGAUGAUCAGUAGGGGUUCUGAGAGGAUUGGCCCCCACAUGGGUACUGAGAUACGGACCCAACUCCUACGGGAGGCAGCAGUAGGGAAUAUUGGGCAAUGGAGGCAACUCUGACCCAGCCAUGCCGCGUGGAGGAUGACGGCGCUCAGCGUUGUAAACUCCUUUUAUCAGGGAAGAACUUUGGUCUUGCGGGAUCAGUUGACGGUACCUGAGGAAUCAGCACCGGCUAACUCCGUGCCAGCAGCCGCGGUAAUACGGAGGGUGCAAGCGUUGUCCGGAUUUAUUGGGUUUAAAGGGUGCGUAGGUGGGUCUUUAAGUCUGGUUGAAAGCGGGUGGCUCAACCAUCCGAUGUGGCUGGAAACUGGAGGUCUUGAAUGGGUUGGGCG